rnacentral:rRNA from 1 species
GAUGAACGCUAGCUACAGGCUUAACACAUGCAAGUCGAGGGGAAACGACAUCGAAAGCUUGCUUUUGAUGGGCGUCGACCGGCGCACGGGUGAGUAACGCGUAUCCAACCUGCCCAUCACUUGGGGAUAACCUUGCGAAAGUAAGACUAAUACCCAAUGAUAUCUCUAGAAGACAUCUGAAAGAGAUUAAAGAUUUAUCGGUGAUGGAUGGGGAUGCGUCUGAUUAGCUUGUUGGCGGGGUAACGGCCCACCAAGGCAACGAUCAGUAGGGGUUCUGAGAGGAAGGUCCCCCACAUUGGAACUGAGACACGGUCCAAACUCCUACGGGAGGCAGCAGUGAGGAAUAUUGGGCAAUGGGCGAGAGCCUGAACCAGCCAAGUAGCGUGCAGGAAGACGGCCCUAGGGGUGGUAAACUGCUUUUAGAAGGGAAUAAAGUGAGAGUCGUGACUCUUUUUGUAUGUACCUGAUGAAUAAGGACCGGCUAAUUCCGUG